GUAGUCGAAUUUGCAUUAAUUCACAUGUGUUGGGUGGAUUGGAGUGGAACUUAAACUAAAUUCUACCUCAAUCCACUCUAACACAUAUGGAUUGAGGUGAAUCCGACA
rfam:Sorghum bicolor cultivar BTx623 chromosome 2, whole genome shotgun sequence.